GACGAACGCUGGCGGCGUGCUUAACACAUGCAAGUCGAGCGGUAAGGCCCUUUCGGGGGUACACGAGCGGCGAACGGGUGAGUAACACGUGGGUGACCUGCCCUCAGCUCUGGGAUAAGCCUGGGAAACCGGGUCUAAUACCGGAUAUGACUCCAUGACGCAUGUUGUGGGGUGGAAAGCCUUGUGCGGCUGAGGAUGGGCCCGCGGCCUAUCAGCUUGUUGGUGGGGUGAUGGCCUACCAAGGCGACGACGGGUAGCCGGCCUGAGAGGGCGACCGGCCACACUGGGACUGAGACACGGCCCAGACUCCUACGGGAGGCAGCAGUGGGGAAUCUUGCGCAAUGGGCGAAAGCCUGACGGAGCGACGCCGCGUGCAGGAUGAAGGCCU
rnacentral:rRNA from 1 species